rnacentral:lncRNA from 1 species
GUAAGAAACGCUGUGGAAGAUCCAGCUCGUGACUUCAGAUCAUUUUGAAAGCAGAGCUUCCAUCUUUUCGGAGCAUUUUACAUCUUUUGUCUCAUUCGAUCCUCACAACCACUCCCCUCCCCCGUGAUAUGAGGCAAGAUUGCUUUCUCCCCAUUUAACAGAAGCUAGAACCAAGACAUAUGGAUGCUAAGAAUUUGCCUGAGGUCUCCCAGGGGGUUUGUGGAAAGACAAGGUGUAAAACCUGAGUCUCCUGAUUCUAGAUGCCGUGGUUCCACCCAAGGGGCCAUAUUGUAAAGCGUCACCUGGCGUCACACAGUCCAGAAGCUGAGAGGUGAAGACGGUCACCUCUGUAGGAAUCAGAGGAACUCCCCACUCUCGUCGCCAGGCCUGAAGGCGGUGGUGCAUUCAUAGUUGAGAAUGCGCCUGACCCUUUGUAAGACUUACCUCAAGCAUCAGCCCACAAGAAGGCUUCCUGACCCAUGCCUUCCCACAGGGAGCUGAUUACUCUCUUGGAAUCACUUGCUCUGGGAGAGCUGACGCCAUGUCAGGAGGACACUCAAGCAGGCCUGUGGAGAAGGACGUGUGGAGAGGAACGAGGCCUCCUCACAACAGCCAGCAUCACGUUUCCAUCUGGAUGAGUGAGCCGUCCUGGAAACGGAUCCUCCAGCCCCAGUGACGCCUUCCCAUGACCGCAGCCCUGGCCGACAUCUUGACUGCAGCCUCAUGAGAGACCUUGAGCCAGAAAUACCCAGUUAAACGGCUCCUGGAUUCCUGACCCACAGAAACUGUCUGUGACAGGAUCGAGGGACAUGGUGACCGACCCAAUCGAGCUGUGAUGGAAUCAAGAGGAGGACCUGGCGACCCUAGCGGCCAGACCACUCCUGGGCAUUGGUUUGAGGAUCACCCAGCAUCACCCUUCUUAUGUGCCUGACAGCAAAGCCCUGCAACCUGAUAGCCAGGCCUGCUUUCAUAUACACACAGGCCCCUGAGAAUGCGGCCUUUAUAGGAAUCUCCGGGGUUGUGUUGUCUGAACCAUCGAAUGUCCUGUGUGUCCAGUGCUGGGGAAUGCAUGAGUCCACUUCAGCACUCAGCAGAGAAGCGACUGGGCAAAGAGUGUGCCCUUAGGGUCCUUAAAUGGAAUUUUAAAUUUUAACAACUUACCUCCGCUUCAAUGCAGACUGUUACUCUGACAGAACGCAAACUCCGUGUCCCUAAACUUGAGGAAAAAUUCUUCAGCGUUUGCUGCUAGCACGGUACAUUACACAUUGAGGGGGGCCCCUUAAGGAUUUUGAAUUCCUUGUAUUCGUACUUCACUGGGUCAUGGGAACCACCACUUUAGUGUCUGCGCAGAGGACUUCUUCCUCUGGGUUUGUCAAGGUUGUAGGUUUGCUCUGACUUCAGCUGUGGCAACAAAGAGAGGCUCCAAGUGUAGCCUGAGGCAGAAGGAAAAGGCAAGUCAACCUGUCACCUUUUUGAUCCAUAGGUUUCCAUCUAUAUUAUUGCUCGUCCCCUCGGGGCUUGGGCUUAAACCCUCUUCUCUCCAGUCUUCUCACUAACAGAGCUGACAAACCGACUCACCCCCAAACUCGAUGCUUAGUCUCUAGUGACGGGAAGCCAUGUCUCAGUGCCAACAUUAUUUAUGUUAUUGGCAUGCCUGAAUCAGAUAAAUAGCUUCAACAGCUGCAGAGCACAGGGCAGGAAAC